CAUCUCUGAGACAGUCUGCAAAGACCUGACGGUGAAAUCACUGAAACCAUGAUCAAGGUUGUGUUUCUGCUUGGAUGCCUGCUGAGCCUUGCUCUGGCAAAUCCUAAUGACUCAGCACACGAGCGCGAUGCACGUUCUUCAUCUGGGGAGGGGACUUUUGGGACCCUAAAUCGUCUUACCCUGCUACUACCUCUUCUACAGAAUCCACUACUUCUGCAGAAUUCAAC